GAUGAACGCUAGCGAUAGGCUUAACACAUGCAAGUCGAGGGGCAGCAUGAUCUUAGCUUGCUAAGGUCGAUGGCGACCGGCGCACGGGUGCGUAACGCGUAUGCAACUUGCCUUACAGAGGGGGAUAACCCGUUGAAAGACGGACUAAAACCGCAUACACUUGUAUUAUUGCAUGAUAUUACAAGGAAAUAUUUAUAGCUGUAAGAUAGGCAUGCGUCCCAUUAGCUGGUUGGUGAGGUAACGGCUCACCAAGGCAACGAUGGGUAGGGGAACUGAGAGGUUUAUCCCCCACACUGGUACUGAGACACGGACCAGACUCCUACGGGAGGCAGCAGUGAGGAAUAUUGGUCAAUGGGCGAGAGCCUGAACCAGCCAAGUCGCGUGAAGGAAGACAGUCCUAAGGAUUGUAAACUUCUUUUAUACGGGAAUAACGGGCGAUACGAGUAUUGCAUUGAAUGUACCGUAAGAAUAAGCAUCGG
rnacentral:rRNA from 1 species